rnacentral:rRNA from 1 species
GCAAGUCGAACGCGAAAGUCACUUCGGUGGCGAGUAGUGUGGCGGACGGGUGAGUAAUGCUUGGGAAUCUGCCUCAUAGUGGGGGAUAACUACCGGAAACGGUAGCUAAUACCGCAUGUGCCCUACGGGGGAAAGAUUUAGCGCUAUUAGAUGAGCCCAAGUCAGAUUAGCUAGUUGGUAGGGUAAAGGCCUACCAAGGCGACGAUCUGUAGCUGGUUUGAGAGAGCGAAC